UGGUUUUGAAUAAUGUGUCUU
rnacentral:piRNA from 1 species